rnacentral:rRNA from 1 species
UACAGAGGUCCCAAGCGUUGUUCGGAUUCAUUGGGCGUAAAGGGUGCGUAGGCGGCGCGGUAAGUCGGGUGUGAAAUCUCGGAGCUUAACUCCGAAACUGCAUUCGAUACUGCCGUGCUUGAGGACUGGAGAGGAGACUGGAAUUUACGGUGUAGCGGUGAAAUGCGUAGAUAUCGUAAGGAAGACCAGUGGCGAAGGCGGGUCUCUGGGCCUGCACUGACGCUCAUGCA